AGAGAACAAAAUCCAGCCAGUAGUUUCUAGUUUGACUUUCAGUAUUCCCCUAGAAGCAAGCAUCCAUACAGAUGCUGUACUUCUUCUGUCCUCCCUAACUCAGAAGCCCUAAUAUGAGGAAGGAAAGCAUCAGACUGUUAGAGGAGAACAGGACCAGGCUAUCUAGAUAAAUAUGAAGACCUGCUUCAGACCAAUGAGAAGAAUUAGACAAGCAAUACGCAAGUGUGCAGACUUUCUGAGAAGGAUCAGCCAGCAUCACCUUCCUUCUUUGGGCUUAGGUCAGCACGUUUCUGCCAUCAACAUGACUACCGAUUAAGCAAAAACAAGGAGCAUCUUAAUUAUCAUCUGCUUUGGUUGCAUAAACGAACUUGUAAAUAAAUCUAUUGAUGUUAAAGACAAUAUCGUCAUCUUCCCAACCAACUAUAAAAGAGUUCUUAUACCAAAAGGCAUGGAAGAUACUUGGACUUGUGAGCUGA